UACGUAGGGUGCAAGCGUUGUCCGGAAUUAUUGGGCGUAAAGAGCUCGUAGGCGGUUUGUUGCGUCGGCUGUGAAAUCCCGAGGCUCAACCUCGGGUCUGCAGUCGAUACGAGCAAACUAGAGUGUUGCAGGGGGAGACUGGAAUUCCUGGUGUAGCGGUGAAAUGCGCAGAUAUCAGGAGGAACACCGGUGGCGAAGGCGGGUCUCUGGGCAACAACUGACGCUGGAGGAGCGAAAGCGUGGGGAGCGAACAGGA
rnacentral:rRNA from 1 species